UCUAAUUAAAAUUUUAAUUUUUAAGGUUCCAAAUUUAUGUGAAGAUGUGCAUGUAUCUAUAUUAGUUGAGUUUAGUAAAAGUUAAGAUGUUUGUCAUUAAAAAUGAAAUAAUCUUGAAGACUUUACUGACUGCAGUCAAUAGGAAAGGGAGAAGGUCACUCUGGUCUCCUAGUAGUGGUAUAUAGGGGCCAGACUUUAUAGCCUCCUGGUUUUUAUACAUGACAUGCAUUGUUUUAACUGCUUUUAUACAGUAGCUAUAUACAUGCACAUAAAACCAUGAACCAAUUGCAGCCAUACUUUUUUGACUUAUAAUACAGGGACUUUGGGCCCAUUUUUGAACAAAUUAAAAAAUUCCAGAUUUAAUCAGAACAUAGUUUCGUCCUGCCCUUCGCUACCUGUGGAGGGGCGGGGCAAGACUAAUCAGACCAUUGAUCUAUGAUUGGAAUCGGUUCAGAUUUUCUAUGCAACAAAAGUAUAUGUAUACUAUUCUCUCUCUAACUAGUCUCUCCAAGGACAACACCACACUAAGAAAGUCCAUUGAGGAGCAACUAAACACCUUCAGCCAAUCAGAAGCUCCCUUAUCUUGUGUCGACAAUAGGAAAUCCAGG